rnacentral:rRNA from 1 species
CAGCCGCGGUAAUACGAACCGUGUUUAAAGAAAAUCGGAAUUACUAGGCGUAAAGCGUGCGUAGGCGCCCCAAAUAAAACCGUUGUGAAAGCCCUGGGCUCAACCUGGGAACUGCAUAGGAUACUGGGCGACUAGAGCGUGGUACAGUGUAUUGGAAUUCCUGGUGUAGCAGUGAAAUGCGUAUAGAUCAGGAGGAACAUCCAUGGCGAAGGCAGCUACCUGGACCAACACUGACACUGAGGCUCGAAAGCGUGGGGAGCAAACAGGAUUAGAUACCCUGAUAGUCCACGCCCUAAACGAUGCGAACUGGAUGUUGGGUGCUAAUUGGCCCGCAAUAUCGAAGCUAACGCGCUAAGUUCGCCGCCUGGGGAGUACGGUCGCAAGACUGAAACUCAAAGGAAUUGUCGGGGGCUUUUCACCAGCGGUGCAAGUGUGUGGUUUAAUUCAAUGCAAAACGAAACAACCCUACCUGGCCUUGAAUGUCGAGAACUUUCCAGAAAUGGAUGCUGCCCUUCGGGAACUUCAAACACAGGUGCUGGCAUGGUUGUCUUAAUCUUCUUGUAUUGAUAUGUUGGGGUUUAAU